AAUCCUCACAAUCCCAGUGCACACAAAUCAGCAUUAAAGAUGGACUUUGAUACCUGGUGCUAGGAUGCGAGUAACUUUUGCAAGCUAUGGAGAAUCUGAUCCAGUUCAUACCUGAAUGAGAGUUCUUGAAGACCUUUGAAACUAAACAUCAUCUAUGCUUUACCUAAGCACUGCUGUAUUUCUUGGAUGAAGGAGAGAUCUGUGACAUUUUGGUAAUCAAGGCCUGAUCCUACACCCCUUCUUUAUAAAUGGGGCCAAGUGUACAGGGGUACAACUAGCUUUGGAAUUGAAUGAAUAAGACCUUCAUGACACAGAACAUUGGAAGAAUGAAGUGGAUAAGACACCUUGCAGUCCCCUUGCCUGAUAUACCCUGUCUAGGAGCUGGCCAUUUUUCAGAAUGCAACUGAGGCAGAAGAAGAUUCACUUACUCAGGUUUAAACAAGGAACUGAACUGGCAGAAGAAGAAACUGAACUGACAUCUCCUGAGUCCUAGUCAGUUGCUUUAACAUGAGAACAUCCUUUCUUCCUUUGGGUGCAAAACAAAAAAAAGAACCAAGAGGUGUUGCACUCCCUGGAAACUGCUCUGCUAGCCUGCCGUAAAGCAGCAGAUCUGAUGAUUCACCUGUGACAUAACUACUUUCUCUCUCAUGCCAUUUUCCCAAUAUAUUUGGGCCUCUUUAGGGAAGGAGGGCUUAGAACUCAUUGAAGGCUGCUGCAAGAUACAAAAGAAAUGCUAGAUUGGAAAAGAUCUACCAUGUUUGAACAAGAAUCCUUUUCAGGCCUGGAGCACAAAGAAGAUAAUGAGGAGAAGGAAUGCGCAAGUCCUGCCAGACGGGCAGCAAGAACACUCCAAGGCUGAAAUAAGCUGAAGACAAAAGAAGAACAACCACAAAAACAGAAGCUGGGGAUGGAAAAACCCCAAAGCACUAAAACAAAGGAUACCAAUACCUAUAAAAGAAGACUUAAAAAAUGCCAAGUUGGAUCCAGUUUGAGACCUGCUGAUUUUCAUCCAUAUUGCUGGUUCCUUUGCCAUUCUGUUUCCUGCAGUGUCAUCAGUGGAGAAAAAGGACAUCCUUUAAUUGUAGAAUAUCCAUUUAGGGGUGGAUACAGAAUGAGUGCAGUCAUGUGUUGUCCCAUUCCCCUUUCAGAUCAUACUAAAGGAUCAGCAGCUAGAGAACCUUUUUUAAGUCCCAAAAUCAAGUAAGAACUCCCCAGCUCUCCCUUCCCCUCCAAGCUUAACAGUAUGUCCACUCUCUCCCCUCCAAUUCCUCCCCUUUCUUCUGCCACUGCUGUCUCUGGCUGCCCCCUGGGUUGGGAUUAGCCUCAGAGAUGCUCCUGCCCUACUCCUGCUGGGUUGCACCAGGAGCCAGGCUCAGCCUGGGACAGCAGCAGUGACAGCACCAGGUAAGUUCCACCUCCCUACUCAAUCCCUCCAAGUAUUUCCUGCCAACCUGGAAGCAGGCUUAGGGAGAGGCAGCCUGCCUGCCACUGCUGCCACUACUACUGUCAUGGAUGGCAUUGUUUGCACAGAAGCUUGCACAGGGUCAGUGGUAAGUGGAGGAAGGGGCAAAUGUGAAGGGAAGGGAGCACCAAGGAAGGAGGUGCUGGGGGUAGGGGUGAGAUACUUACUACUGUGUGGGCCUUAAAUAAAGUCCUUAGCUGUUACUUCUGUGGUGUGGUGUGGUAUGGUGUGGUCUGCCUAUCCUGGUACGGGAAGAUAAGGGGAGAAGCUGGGAGCAGGGAUGCAGCCAGCUAUGAAGCAUCAUUUGCUGCUCCCACACCCUCCUUUACCAAAUCCUGUAUAUGCCCAUAGUGCCAUUGUUAUUUAUUUUACCCCCUGAAAUGCUAAAUGCAUAGAUUUGAAAUAAGAGUUUUGAUUGGACUCAGACCUGAUAGGGUGCAUAUGUAAGAAUUAUCAGGAGAGAAGCUUUAGGAGUAGCAGCAGCCUAGCAUUACAUUUUGGAAAAUAAUGAUUGUAGACCACCAGGAUACAGUGAGAAAUCACAAACACCUUAUGCUGAGUAGUGGCAAAUACAUCUGACUGAUAGUGGUAGUAAUUAAUUCCUUGAUUCUAAUCUGAGAGCAAGCUUUAGUGCCAUGCAGAUUUGGUGUUUGAAAGUGAGUUCACAUGUUCUUGUGUUUUGGGGGCAGAAAAGGUAGGUCAUAUUGCUAGUUUCAGGAUGGCCACUAGCUUUUUCAAGUAACAGAGGAAAUUCUCAUGUUUCUUGGGAGACAUGUAAAUAACUAAGAUUUAUAGGUUGGUAUUGUCUGAUGGCUGUCAGCUGAGGUGAGUAUGUCAUGUAUUUGAUAGGAUAUAAAUCAUUGUCCCACCUGUUGUCAGGUGUUUUGAGCUUUUAGGCCUUGUGUAGCCAGAGGGGUAUGGGGGACUUACAGGGUGUGUCUACACACAAUAUGCUACAUUGCCAUACAGUGCACUAUGGCAAAGUUGCAAUCACGUGGGUUGGCAGUUACAUCUUAGUGGCGUGCUCCCCUGGUACAGGGCACUGCUAUGGCAACAUAGUAGCAAAAUCAAACCAUGCACCACACUCAUGGCACAGUAACCACCUGUACUGUGCCAUCACACAGAAGCUUGUACUUCCAAAAGGAAGUACUAAAAUGUAGUGCCAUAGCAGUGUUGCCAUACAGUAACGUGUACACGCUCCCACAGAAUCAGUUUGCAGAAGGCCACAUUCUCUCCCAAGAUCCUGUUGUGCUUUAUGAUUGUUUUCUUUCCUAUUGAUCUUAUCUGUAACAGCAGAAUUUUGAGAUCAGCCUGGUCAGCUGCUCUUUCAGUCAAUGAUACCAGCCAAUAGGAGAAUGAAAAGUAAUUGUGUAAGUUGCUGAUCAUUCUGGGGUUCAUGUUUCUCCUGAAUUGCUGGUGAAAUGAAAUUCGAGACGAAACACUGUUCUGUCAAACCGUCGAAACUCAAGGCAAAAUGGAACGGUGCCAUUUCACACAGCCCUACUGGUUACAAUAAAUUUAGUAAGCUUAUUAUAGUGGGCCUUGAGAGACGGACUGCAUUUGAUGGAUCUGAUUAAUUGAAUAAAGAUGUAUCAAACAUG